GGUCGCGUAGCUCAGCUGGAUAGAGCACCUGCCUUCUAAGCAGGCGGUCCCAGGUUCGAAUCCUGGCGCGAUCA
rfam:Gillisia sp. Hel1_33_143 genome assembly, chromosome: I